UCUAUUGUAUUUUGCAGAAUGGAAUGGACCACAUGGAGAAAAAGGGAAUCACACACCUCAGCAAUGACUGGAUGGUUUUUCUUUUUCAGAUAAUGAAGAGGUAGCAGAAUAAGGGGACUCACAAGGGAAAAGGUGGAAAUACACUUAAAGACCUGGAGCUCAGGAAGCAGAUUGGCAUGGAGCAUGUGGAGAAACAGGGAAACACACGGAUGGGUGCAUGGGUAGAUGUCUCUCCAAGACGAAGAGGGUGGCGGUGGGCAUAGAUUGUUCGCUAGAUGUAUUGUCUGUAGUAGUUACAUUGUAGGUAAUGGAACCACAACAGACAGAAGAGGGAGACUCACAAGCGGAAUGGUGAAUAUUUGUCUGUUAAACACUAGAGAACAAGAGUUGUGGUUGGUAUAAAUGGUCAAUUAGGCCUUGUCUGUGUCAGGUUUUUCUUUUUCAGUUAAUAGAGAGAGCAGAAGAAGGAGAUUCACAAGGGGAACGGUAGAGAUAUACUUGAAAACCUGGAGCUCAGGAAGCAGGUAGAACUGAUUGAACAGACUGAACAAUAGAGUUAGAGUCCAAAGAAAUGUAUUAGGAAUAUUUAAAUGCUUGAUAUCUUUCUCUUUGGCAGAUUGGCCAAAGGAAAAAGGGAAACACACGAAUAGGUGCAUGGAUGGAUGUCCUUCCAAGAGGAAGGGGGUGGUGGUGGGCAUAGAUUGUUAGAUGUCUUCUCUGUGGCUGUUAUUUACAUUGUAGGUAAUGGAACCACAACAGAUAGAAGAGGGAGACUCACAAGCGGAAUGGUGAAUAUUUGUCUGUUAAACACUAGAGAACAAGAGUUGUCAUUGGUAUAAAUGGUCAUUUAGGCCUUGUCUUUGUCAGGUUUUUCUUUUUCAGUUAAUGAAGAGAGAGCAGAAGAAGGAGAUUCACAAGGGAAACGGUAGAGAUAUACUUAAAGACCUGAAGCUCAGGAAGCAGGUAGAACUGAUUGAACAGACUGAACAAUGGAGUUAGAGUCCAAACAAAUGUAUUAGGAAUAUUUAAAUACUUGAUAUCUUUCUCUUUGGCAGAUUGGCCAAAGAAAAUAGGGAAACACACAAAUUGGUGCAUGGAUGGAUGU